rnacentral:other from 2 species
UUUACCCUGCGAUGUUCGUGAAGAGCCGUGCAGUUUUGAGCCAACACCAAAACUUAGGGAACCUGACAUCCGGGCAUGGCUUGCAGGCCCCAGUUUCCAGGGGAAGCAAAAAGUGUCCGUGGAGGUACCCACCUGCUGAGAGCAGGUUCAAAAACCACGGCAUUCACGGCAUUUGUGGGGUUUUA